GACGGGGGGGGCAAGCGUUGUUCGGAAUUAUUGGGCGUAAAGAGCUCGUAGGCGGUGUGUCACGUCGGCCGUGAAAACCUGCAGCUUAACUGUGGGCGUGCGGUCGAUACGGGCAUCACUGGAGUUCGGCAGGGGAGACUGGAAUUCCUGGUGUAGCGGUGAAAUGCGCAGAUAUCAGGAGGAACACCGGUGGCGAAGGCGGGUCUCUGGGCCGAUACUGACGCUGAGGAGCGAAAGCGUGGGGAGCAAACAGG
rnacentral:rRNA from 1 species